UGGGGAAUCUUGCGCAAUGGCCUAACGGCUGACGCAGCGACGCCGCGUGUGGGAUGAAGCUCUUCGGAGUGUAAACCACUGUUGCCCGGGACGAAUAGCUCGAUUAAUCGAGCCUGACGGUACCGGGUGAGGAAGCACCGGCUAACUCCGUGCCAGCAGCCGCGGUAAUACGGGGGGUGCGAGCGUUGUCCGGAAUCACUGGGCGUAAAGGGCGCGUAGGUGGUUUGAUAAGGGUGUGGUGAAAGUCCGGGGCUCAACCCCGGAUCUGCCGUGCCGACUGUCAAACUCGAGGGCUGUAGAGGCAGACGGAAUUCCGGGUGUAGCGGUGGAAUGCGUAGAGAUCCGGAGGAAGACCGGUGGCGAAGGCGGUCUGCUGGGCAGUUUCUGACACUGAUGCGCGACAGCGUGGGGAGCAAACAGGAUUAGAUACCCCCGUAGUCC
rnacentral:rRNA from 1 species